UUCACGUUGAUUGGGCCCCAUGUGUAAUUAUCUGAAAUAUUUAUCUGCAUUAUAUCUGAAUUUAAUUAGAACGAUACGAGCGAGUAGGAGUGUCUGUUUGUGGGCGGGGCUUGCUUGAGCAGAGAGGGAGGGGAGAGGAGGAGCUGAGGGGAAAACUGGUUGGGAGGGGUAGAGUUUACAUUCAAGAUUUCUGCAAAAAACUGGCACUUCCUCAGAUCCUGCCUACCCCACCUUUAAAUUUUACAUAAUGUCUCCGUCCUGAGAGCCCUCUGACCUUUUACAUGAGUAUAUAUAUGAAAUUAAGUAAGUAAAUUUAAUUUAUAUAGCACUUUUCAUAGAUAAGAUCACAAAGUGCUUUACAACAAAGGAUAAAAAACGCCAACAUCAGUUGAAAGCCUGUUUAAAAAGAUAAGUGUUAAGUUCUUACUUAAAACUUUCAGAAGACUCUUUGCUACAUAAGGUCAACAGUUUGAGGGCGAUUUAUAGCCUUUUUGUUAAAACACAUGAAAAGAGCAUUAGAUAGAUAGAUAGAUAGAUAGAUAGAUAGAUAGAUUGAUAGAUUGAUAGAUAGAUAGAUAGAUAGAUAGAUAGAUAGACUUUAUUGAUCCCAAACUGGGAAAUUCACAUUACAAUACAAUAGUCAAUGUGACAUUAAACAAAGACAUGAAUUCUCAUCUCCAUAUCCGGUCUUAAAAUCAUGGACCUCAGUUUAGCUAUGUUCCGCAGAUGAUAGAAGCAAUUCUUCACCAACUGUACACAACAAAAAGCAAAACCAGGUAGAGCACACCUUCCGCCCACACACACUCACACCUUCAUAUAAUGUGCAGAUCUGAACAACCGAGGUACAGCACCCCCUACCCCACCCCCCUUCAUUUCUGGUACAUACAUAAAAGGCUGAGGCAGGGACAGCAGCUGCAAAGACCCCUAGAAGACCCCUGAGCAUGGGCGGGGAUUAGUAACAGGACAUAUAACAUUGAGAGAAUCAGGCACGGCUAAUAAAAUGAGGAGCUGGGGUGGAGGGGCUUUGCAAAGUGGUUUGCAGAGAAAGCAUCUCGAGCUAGCAGGCUAAAGUACAGCUGAAUGUUGAUCAAUACAAAUUUUUAGGUUACAUUCUCGGUCGUGUUAUGCUAAGUAACAACGAUACACCACAAACUACAUCAUGGUGGAGAUUAUUUUACUUCUAGAUAUAAGUCUGUCUGCUUCAUCUGUCAGGUUUGGUCAACAUCUCUCAGGAAACUCAAAGAAAACAGCCAUCUCAUAAAGGUCCUCUGUUUUACUAUUUAUACCAUUAUAGGCCUUCAUUUAAUUUGCAGCAGUGCAGUCAGUGCAUCCGCUUAUGCAGAAAUGUGAUAAUAAAAUUUCACAUGCUUCAAGGGGCUGAGGCAAAUUUAAUAUGAAGUGACAUUUCCCUUAGCUGGGACAAUCAUCUGGGUAAAUACCAGAAGAAUAUACUGUACUUUCUAAUGAGUUUUAUCUCCAAAAAGCCAUGUCUGAUACAAAACUAAUCUCUGACUAAUUUCCUCUGAGCACUUCACUUAAUAUGAAACCCUGAAGUUACUGAAUUUAAUUUCUGUCCACAGUUUGAUUAGGAAUGUGUGCGUGUGUUUGAGUUCACUGUUUCUCCAAAGAGAGGUCAUGGCAGGCAAACAAGCCUGAGUGUUGCUGACCUGCUACUAUAUGAAUCACGCAAAUAGAUUUAAUGGGCUUCCCAUCACUCAGGUUUCACUAUUGCUCGUAUUAGUGCUGCCCCUGUGGGAACACUUGCUGGGCAGGGCUUUAGGAGAGGAAGAUGAGUGAGUUCACAGAUUAGGAAGAAAGGAUUUAGGGGAAAAAAAUAUAUAAGUUUUGGACAUUGAUAUGUUAGUAUGAAAAGUGAUUCCCAAUUAUCAAAAAAAACUUUUAAAAUCCAACACAAAUCCUUCAUGCUGCUACUGUUUUCAUUCCAGUUAAACACAUGUAACACUCUCUUAAACAGGAUUACCUAGGAUUUUCACAGGGAUUAGUUUGUUUUACUAAAGCUCCUCAAAGAAGCAAUUUAAGUUUGACUAAAUACAUUCUUGAAAGUAAUUAGAUUACAGACUUCAAGUUGGAUUCAGAGCGAUAUUUUUGACAUUAAAAUUAAAAGGAAAUCUCCCGCCUGAAUGUGCAGUCCCCUUUUAUGUAGAGUCCUGCAUUCUUUGUUCUGAUUUUGCACCCAAUAUUGUUUCAUGAUAACCACCAUAGACUGUGCAUUCUAUGGACAACUUCCAACUCUGCCAGUAUACGGAUUUGAAGCAGAAAAGCUCUCAGUGAUUCUGCGUUUUUUCUCCACUUCUUGAAACCAACAUUGCGCAGUAGCAUUACACAUUUGGCGGGAGAGUCGCUGUGAUGACGCUCGGCUCAAACAGCAUAUCCCCCGGGUGAGCUACGCAAUCUUCGUAUGCCCAUAGGCUGUAUCAGGUGUCAAUCAUAGAAAACAUGAACCCCCUAAUAACUUUUAAAAAUGGAGCUGCACAGAAAAAAAGAGGACUUGAGCACAAACCAGUCUUAGAAUAACUACAUGUCAACAUCACAAGCAAGGGGGGGAAAAAUUUAUAUUCUGCGUAAUAAAUUUCUAAAGUUUGUCCACAGCACAGGAUGGAAAGAGGAGGCGGGAUUUAUGACCUAUACUGCAGCCUGUCACCAGAGGGCGCUGUUCUCGGAGUGGCUUCACCCAGCAAGGAGGCAGACGCUGUCCAUUCUAUACACAGUCUAUGAUCACCACCCCUUUCUGCAAAAACUUUAACAGGCAGCAGACAAGAAAAACUGAUGUAUGCAGUAAAAAGUUGUGAUUUCACCCAAUAGUAAAGCCAUUUUUGCCGCC